UUCUCAUUCGUAUAACGGUCAGUAUGCUCGCUUGUCAUGAAGAUCGCGGGAGAUCGGAGUUCGAUUCUCCGAUGGGAAG
rnacentral:tRNA from 1 species